AUUGAACGCUGGCGGCAUGCCUUACACAUGCAAGUCGAACGGUAACAGGUCUUCGGAUGCUGACGAGUGGCGAACGGGUGAGUAAUACAUCGGAACGUGCCUAGUAGUGGGGGAUAACUACUCGAAAGAGUGGCUAAUACCGCAUGAGAUCUACGGAUGAAAGCAGGGGAUCGCAAGACCUUGUGCUACUAGAGCGGCCGAUGGCAGAUUAGGUAGUUGGUGGGAUAAAAGCUUACCAAGCCGACGAUCUGUAGCUGGUCUGAGAGGACGAGCAGCCACACUGGGACUGAGACACAGCCCAGACUCCUACGGGAGGCAGCAGUGGGGAAUUUUGGACAGUGGGCGCAAGCCUGAUCCAGCAAUGCCGCGUGCAGGAUGAAGGCCUUCGGGUUGUAAACUGCUUUUGUACGGAACGAAAAGCCCUGGGUUAAUACCCUGGGGUCAUGACGGUACCGUAAGAAUAAGCACCGGCUAACUACGUGCCAGCCGCCGCUGUAAUAC
rnacentral:rRNA from 1 species